rnacentral:rRNA from 1 species
UACGGAGGGUGCGAGCGUUAUUCGGAAUUACUGGGCGGAAAGCGCGUGUAGGCGGGGAAGCAAGUCUGAUGUGAAAGCCCUGGGCUUAAACUGGGAAGUGCAUUGGAAACUGUUUUUCUUGAGUACUGGAGAGGAAGGGAGAAUUCCCGGUGUAGAGGUGAAAUUCGUAGAGAUCGGGAGGAACACCAGUGGCGAAGGCGCCCUUCUGGACGGUUACUGACGCUGAGACGCGAAAGCGUCGGGAGCAAACAGG